GAUGAACGCUGGCGGCGUGCCUAACACAUGCAAGUCGAACGGAGAUUACGGACGGAAGUUUUCGGAUGGAAGCCUGUAAUUCUUAGUGGCGGACGGGUGAGUAACGCGUGGGCAACCUGCCCUAUACAGGGGGAUAGCAGCUGGAAACGGCUGGUAAGACCGCAUAAGUCGGUUAAAUCGCAUGAUUUGAUCGGGCAAUGAGCAAUCAGGUAUAGGAUGGGCCCGCGUCCGAUUAGCCAGUUGGCAGGGUAAAAGCCUACCAAAGCGACGAUCGGUAGCCGGACUGAGAGGUCGACGGCCACAUUGGGACUGAGACACGGCCCAAACUCCUACGGGAGGCAGCAGUGGGGGAUAUUGCACAAUGGAGGAAACUCUGAUGCAGCGACGCCGCGUGAGUGAAGAAGUAUUUCGGUAUGUAAAGCUCUAUCAGCAGGGAAGAUGAUGACGGUACCUGACUAAGAAGCCCCGGCUAACUACGUG
rnacentral:rRNA from 1 species